rnacentral:rRNA from 1 species
GACGAACGCUGGCGGCGUGCCUAAUACAUGCAAGUUGAGCGAUGAAGAUUGGUGCUUGCACCAAUUUGAAGAGCAGCGAACGGGUGAGUAACGCGUGGGGAAUCUGCCUUUGAGCGGGGGACAACAUUUGGAAACGAAUGCUAAUACCGCAUAACAACUUUAAACAUAAGUUUUAAGUUUGAAAGAUGCAAUUGCAUCACCCAAAGAUGAUCCCGCGUUGUAUUAGCUAGUUGGUGAGGUAAAGGCUCACCAAGGCGAUGAUACAUAGCCGACCUGAGAGGGUGAUCGGCCACAUUGGGACUGAGACACGGCCCAAACUCCUACGGGAGGCAGCAGUAGGGAAUCUUCGGCAAUGGACGAAAGUCUGACCGAGCAACGCCGCGUGAGUGAAGAAGGUUUUCGGAUCGUAAAACUCUGUUGGUAGAGAAGAACGUUGGUGAGAGUGGAAAGCUCAUCAAGUGACGGUAACUACCCAGAAAGGGACGGCUAACUACGUG